rnacentral:rRNA from 1 species
GAUGAACGCUGGCGGCGUGCCUAACACAUGCAAGUCGAACGGAGAUUACGGACGGAAGUUUUCGGAUGGAAGCCUGUAAUUCUUAGUGGCGGACGGGUGAGUAACGCGUGGGCAACCUGCCCUAUACAGGGGGAUAGCAGCUGGAAACGGCUGGUAAGACCGCAUAAGUCGGUUAAAUCGCAUGAUUUGAUCGGGAAAUGAGCAAUCAGGUAUAGGAUGGGCCCGCGUCCGAUUAGCCAGUUGGCAGGGUAAAAGCCUACCAAAGCGACGAUCGGUAGCCGGACUGAGAGGUCGGACGGCCACAUUGGGACUGAGACACGGCCCAAACUCCUACGGGAGGCAGCAGUGGAGGAUAUUGCACAAUGGAGGAAACUCUGAUGCAGCGACGCCGCGUGAGUGAAGAAGUAUUUCGGUAUGUAAAGCUCUAUCAGCAGGGAAGAUGAUGACGGUACCUGACGAAGAAGCCCCGGCUAACUACGUG